rnacentral:rRNA from 2 species
AGUAGUCAUACGCUCGUCUCAAAGAUUAAGCCAUGCAUGUGUAAGUAUAAAUAGUUAACUUUGAAACUGCGAAUGGCUCAUUAUAUCAGUUAUAGUUUAUUUGAUGAAGAAUACUAAUUGGAUAACCGUAGUAAUUCUAGAGCUAAUACAUGUAUAAAGUCUUGUAGACUGCAUUUAUUAGAAUGAAAACCAUAGGUUUCGGCCUAUUCGUGAGUAAUAAUAACUAAUCAUAUCGUAUGCUUAUGUAACGAUGUGUCUUUCAAGUUUCUGCCCUAUCAGCUUUCGAUGGUAGUGUAUUGGACUACCAUGGCAGUAACGGGUAACGAAGAA